rnacentral:lncRNA from 1 species
UUCCAGCUAUUUUGUAGCUAUAUUUAAUUGCUAUUUAUAUUAAAAAAAAUAGAGUGUCGCUAUUCUCGCUAUUCAUCGCUACAAGCCUAAUAGCGACACUAUACCUAUACGCUACAUAGCGCUAUAGCGAUCGAGGUUAUAUAUUACAAUCACAUUACAAUAAUGUCAUAAUUAAGAUAAGGAGAAAAGUACGUCAGCACAAUUUAUCUUUACCUCUAAACAUAAAACUAUAAAAAUAGAGCUCAUUAUUCCAUAAUAAUGAUAAUAAAAUUGCUAUGGUAACCUGAGUUUGUGGUUGAUUGGCUGCUCCUCUGUCCACGUCUUCACGGCCUUCCACGUAAGCUGAAACAAUAUACAUAUAAUAAAAUCAUAAAAUAGCAUAAAUAUAUAUGAUGCAUACAUAAUUACAUAUAUUUAAAUGUAUCUGCAUGUUUAAUACCACCAUUCAGAGAUAUCUUACCAACAUUCACGUCUAGAGGGGGCCUUUGGUUCAUCCAAGGAGAUGGUGCUUGCUGUACAGAAAAAUGAAUUUUUAUAAAGUCUAAACUUCAAUCACAAAACAAACUAGAUCAAACAGAUUUUUCUUAUAAUUGGAUAUUUAGAGUACCCUUAGUCCCUUACAAUCAUCGACAGACAAAAGAACCAAUCAUAGUUAUUAAUAGCGUUCAUAGCAAGCACUAUAGCGAAUAGCAUAGCGUAGCACUCGUGUGUCGCUAUUUGAUUUUGGCGCCUCCAUAGCUGGUAAUAGCGGGAUUUUAGGGUUUUUUUUGUUUUUGUUUUCUGCUUUGAUAUAAAUAGCGGGAUUUUAUAGGUAUAAAAUAGCAGGAUUCUAGGUUUUUUGUUAAGCAUACAAAAAAAAGCUUAUUUGGAUAUAAUAUACAUUUUUUAAUAUUUCUAAAAUUUUUUCCUAGUGUGUCGCUAAACAUAAGAUAGUGCCCGCUAUUUGAUCGCUAUCGCUACGUGGCGUAUAGGUAGCUUGCUGCUAUAGUUAAUAACUAUGGAACCAAUGUAAUAACAAAUAUACAUAACGGAUGGAAUAACUUUGGCUAAAAAUACAUAUUGCAAAACCAAUAAAAAGGAUAAAAGAAAAACCACUUGCCAUGUACGCGCUAGGUCUUCCAACUCUGUCUGAAGCUCCAUUCUCAUUUAUAGAAGAAUAAUCACUUGGGGUGAUGGGAGUGCCUCCAGUAGGUAUAUUGUAUGAAUUCUCCAUGGUCCCUGGUAAAGGCGUUGGAGCUGUUCCCGAUAACAAUCGCAGGGACAUUCGGGUUCAGUUGCAAAGUUGA